rnacentral:ribozyme from 11 species
AGUCUAAGCAAGCAACCAAAAGCAAGAGAAACGAAAGGAAGAGAACGCAAGUCAAUGCCACAUAAUUUGAAUUAUUUUCGCGUCGUUCAGGCUCCAAAUUUUUCUUCUGUCUUUCGUUCUCGUACAACAGUAUCUCUCCUCCACCGGUAACGCACCAAAAAAAGCAUGAAGCAAGAAAAGAACCAAAUGCAAAAGCAGUGAAUAAUAA